GACGAACGCUGGCGGCGUGCCUAAUACAUGCAAGUCGAGCGGAUUUUUGGGAGCUUGCUCCCAAAAAUUAGCGGCGGACGGGUGAGUAACACGUGGGCAACCUGCCUAUAAGACUGGGAUAACUUCGGGAAACCGGAGCUAAUACCGGAUAAUUCACAUCUACUCAUGUAGAUGUGCUGAAAGACGGUUUACGCUGUCACUUAUAGAUGGGCCCGCGGCGCAUUAGCUAGUUGGUGAGGUAACGGCUCACCAAGGCCACGAUGCGUAGCCGACCUGAGAGGGUGAUCGGCCACACUGGGACUGAGACACGGCCCAGACUCCUACGGGAGGCAGCAGUAGGGAAUCUUCCGCAAUGGACGAAAGUCUGACGGAGCAACGCCGCGUGAGUGAU
rnacentral:rRNA from 1 species